AUGCAGGAGGUAACCUCCUUGCCUAGGACACGUAAAUGGAAAUCUCUCCAUAUGCUUUGCAAUUAUCACAUAAGCAGUGAAGAGGUUCAAUAAAGCUGAGAGAAAAACAGGAGGCAGUACCGCCAAAUCAACAGAAGAGCUUACAAACUCAGG